UUGAGUCGGCGGACGGGUGAGUAACACGUGGGUAACCUGCCCUAAAGUGGGGGAUAACAUUUGGAAACAGAUGCUAAUACCGCAUAAAACCUAACACCGCAUGGUGUAGGGUUGAAAGAUGGUUUCGGCUAUCACUUUAGGAUGGACCCGCGGUGCAUUAGUUAGUUGGUGAGGUAAAGGCUCACCAAGACCGUGAUGCAUAGCCGACCUGAGAGGGUAAUCGGCCACACUGGGACUGAGACACGGCCCAGACUCCUACGGGAGGCAGCAGUAGGGAAUCUUCCACAAUGGACGAAAGUCUGAUGGAGCAACGCCGCGUGAGUGAAGAAGGUUUUCGGAUCGUAAAACUCUGUUGUUGGAGAAGAAUGUAUCUGAUAGUAACUGAUCAGGUAGUGACGGUAUCCAACCAGAAAGCCACGGCUAACUACGUGCCAGCAGCCGCGGUAAUACGUAGGUGGCAAGCGUUGUCCGGAUUUAUUGGGCGUAAAGCGAGCGCAGGCGGUUUCUUAAGUCUGAUGUGAAAGCCUUCGGCUCAACCGAAGAAGUGCAUCGGAAACUGGGAAACUUGAGUGCAGAAGAGGACAGUGGAACUCCAUGUGUAGCGGUGAAAUGCGUAGAUAUAUGGAAGAACACCAGUGGCGAAGGCGGCUGUCUGGUCUGUAACUGACGCUGAGGCUCGAAAGCAUGGGUAGCAAACAGGAUUAGAUACCCUGGUAGUCCAUGCCGUAAACGAUGAGUGCUAGGUGUUGGAGGGUUUCCGCCCUUCAGUGCCGCAGCUAACGCAUUAAGCACUCCGCCUGGGGAGUACGACCGCAAGGUUGAAACUCAAAGGAAUUGACGGGGGCCCGCACAAGCGG
rnacentral:rRNA from 2 species